rnacentral:rRNA from 1 species
ACGAACGCUGGCGGUGUGCCUCACACAUGCAAGUCGAACGGGGGGUAGCAAUACCUAGUGGCGGACGGGUGAGUAACACGUGGGAAUCUGCCUCAGAGUGGGGGAUAACUGGCUGAAAGGCUAGCUAAUACCCCAUACGUCGCAAGAUGAAAGGAGCAAUUCGCUUUGAGAUGAGCCCGCGUCCGAUUAGCUAGUUGGUAGGGUAAAGGCCUACCAAGGCUUCGAUCGGUAGCUGGUCUGAGAGGAUGAUCAGCCACAAUGGGACUGAGACACGGGCCAUACUCCUACGGGAGGCAGCAGUGGGGAAUCUUACACAAUGGGGGAAACCCUGAUGCUAGCGACACCGCGUGAGCGAAAAUGAAGCCCCUUCGGGGUGUAAAGCUCUGUCAGGCAGGGAAGAAUGAAAAUGACGGUUACCUGCAGAGGAAGCAUCGGCUAACUACGUGCCAGCAGCCGCGGUAAGUACGUAGGCAUGCGAGCGUUGUUCGGAUUUACUUGGGCGUAAAGGAGUUCGUAGGCUGGUUCGUUUAAGUUUGGUGUGAAAAGGCUCCCGGGCUCAACCUGGAGGUACAGCACUGGAUACUGGAGGACUAGGAGUGCAGGUAGAGGAAAGUGGAAUUCCCUAGGUGUAGCGGUGAAAUGCGUAGAUAUCAGGGAAGGAACACCGGUGGUGUAAGACGGCUUUGCUGGGACCUGUAACUGACACUGAGAACACGAAAAGCUAGUGGGUAGCAAACAUGGAUUAGAUACCCCAUGGUAGUCCUAGCUGCCCUAAACGAUGGCAUACUUAGGGUAUGGGCAGUUUCAUUCUGUACCCCUGAUGGUCCGUAGCUAAAACGCGCUUAAGUAUCCCGCCUGGGUAGUACGGCCGCAAGGCUUGAAACUCAAAGGAAUUGACGGGGGGCCCGCACAAGCGGUGGAACAUGUGGUUCAAUUCGACGCAACGCGAAGAACCUUACCAUGGGCUCGACCUGUCCAGAACCUCGGUAGAAACUACUGAGGGUAGCUCGCCAACCCGCAGAGCUGGUAACAGUCGAGGUGGCUAGCAUGGCUGUCGUCAGCUCGUGUCGUGAGAUGUUGGGUUAAGUCCCGCAACGAGCGCAACCCCCUUGUCCUGUUAGUUGCCAUGCAGGUAAAGGCUGGGAACUCUCAGGAGACCUGCCAGGCUGAAUAAACCUGGAGGAAGGUGGGGAUGACGUCAAGUCCUCAUGGCCCUUUAUGUCCUGGGCUACACACGUGCUACAAUGGGCGGGUACAAGAGCGAUCGCUAACAACUCGCGAGGGGGAGCCGAAUCCGUCAAAAAACCCGUUGCUCAGUUCAGAUUGCUAGGCUGCAACUCGCCUACAGUGAAGCUGGAAUCGCUAGUAAUGGCAGAUCAGCACGCGGCCGGUGAAUACGUUCCCGGGCCUUGUACACACCGCCCGUCACGUCAUGGGAGCUGGUCACGCCCGAAGUCGGUAUAAAAAGCCGCCUAAGGCAGGGCCGGUGACUGGGACGAAGUCGUAACA